CCAGGCUUGGGGGCGGUAGAGGGAGACGGAACUGCCGGUGUAGGGGUGAAAUCCGUAGAUAUCGGCAGGAACGCCGGUGGGGAAGCCGGUCUCCUGGGCCGACCCCGACGCUGAGGCCCGAAAGCCAGGGGAGCAAACCGGAUUAGAUACCCGGGUAGUCCUGGCCGUAAACGAUGCCCACUAGGUGUGGGGGGGUCAUCCCUCCGUGCUGAAGCUAACGCGUUAAGUGGGCCGCCUGGGGAGUACGCCCGCAAGGGUGAAACUCAAAGGAAUUGACGGGGGCCCGCACAAGCGGUGGAGCGUGUGGUUUAAUUGGAUGCUAAGCCAAGAACCUUACCAGGGCUUGACAUGCCGGUGGUACCUCCCCGAAAGGGGUAGGGACCCAGUCCUUUGGGACUGGGAGCCGGCACAGGUGGUGCACGGCCGUCGUCAGCUCGUGCCGUGAGGUGUUGGGUUAAGUCCCGCAACGAGCGCAACCCCUGCCCCUAGUUGCCAGCGGUUCGGCCGGGCACUCUAGGGGGACUGCCGGCGACGAGCCGGAGGAAGGAGGGGAUGACGUCAGGUACUCGUGCCCCUUAUGCCCUGGGCGACACACGCGCUACAAUGGGCGGUACAAUGGGUUGCGACCCCGCGAGGGGGAGCCAAUCCCCAAAACCGCCCUCAGUUCGGAUCGCAGGCUGCAACCCGCCUGCGUGAAGCCGGAAUCGCUAGUAAUCGCGGAUCAGCCACGCCGCGGUGAAUACGUUCCCGGGCCUUGUAC
rnacentral:rRNA from 1 species